GGCGGAGUGGUCGUCUCACCUGGUCUACCGUCGCGACGUUUGUCUUCACUGGGAGUUCUUUAAACCUGGUGAAGAGAAAGGAUUAGAGCAGAGCAGAACCUUCUUCAGUUGGACCGCGGGGUCUCUCCUCUUCGGCCCGUACAGGUCGAUCAAAGAACAUGUCUCUGACGAUGGAAAGAAUCUGACGAAUGGAUAGUUUGUUUGAUAGACUGUUUUCUUGAACAACUGCAAGGUGUACUCUUGAAUAACCUUCCCAAGCUGCCUAACCACCCCUGUAACAAAAUAGACCACCCCUGAGAGGUGCCCAACAAGGUAGUGGGGAAAAUUCAGUCUUGAUGUGCACACAAAGAAAGGUCUCUUUGACGAGGACGAAGUACACGACAACUAAAACCUGCAGGUAGGGACUGCGCAUCGUCUUUA